CCUACGGGGGACUGCAGUGAGGGAUAUUGGUCAAUGGACGAGAGUCUGAACCAGCCAAGUAGCGUGAAGGAUGAAUGCCCUAUGGGGUGUAAACUUCGUUUAUAGGGGAAUAAAAUGUGGCACGUGUGGGAGUUGGUAUGUACCAUAUGAAUAAGGAUGGGCUAACUCCGUGCCAGCCGCCGCGGUAAUACGGAGGAUCCGAGCGUUAUCCGGAUUUAGUGGGUUUACAGGGCGCGUAGGGGGCUUUUGAAGUCAGUUGUGACAGUUUGCGGCUCAACCGUACAAUUGCAGUUGAAACUGGCAGUCUUGAGUACAGUAGCGGUGGGCGGCAUUCGUGGUGUAGCGGUGAAAUGCUUAGAUAUCA
rnacentral:rRNA from 1 species